GGACCAGAUCUCAGAUCCUCACAC
rnacentral:piRNA from 1 species